GGGCUGCGAAGGAGACCACCGGGAGGGGCCGGCUCCGUGCUGCGCACCCCAGGGCAGCGGCUGCGCCUCGGUGCUGGGGAGCUCCGGCUCCUGCCCAGCCGCCCUCGGGCUGGCCUCUGGUUGCCGGUCUGAGCACGGAGGCAGCGGGAGGCGACACGGUCACCGCGUACCCGCGCCCUCGUGCAGCGCAGCCCCGUACCGCGGAGCGCGGCACGGCGGGGCCGGCAGCACCGGGGCGGGCGCGGCCGGCGUCGCCCCUCCUGUAUCGCCCGUGCGCUCGCCAAGUGCCGGCACCGGCACCCCGUGCCGGCCAGAGCCCGGCGCUCCCGGGCGCGGUGCCGACGGGACGGCCCCUGGCGGGGACGCGGAGACCGCGGAGCAGCAGAGAGACCCUGUGAACUUUCCAGCACUCUGAGGCACCCGGAACUGGCCGACUUCCUGAUAGUUAAUGGGUGAAAGGAUUUCCAUCCUGAAGAGAUGCUGAAGAGGAAAGGGUGGGUGAGUCGCUGAAGGAAUCAACAGAGGACUGUGGAGGCCAUGAAGAACUGGAACAGUUAAGGGCGUGGUCAGCUCCAGUAUUUCCAUGCCUCAAUCAGGAGUUUCACUGUGCAGCCUGCAGCUCAGCUAUGGAAAACACGUGCUCUGUGCUGAGCAACAGAUGAUCAGCUGCAUCAUUGCCACCCGUGGGAAAUUCUAAUUGCUCAUCACAAUUCGAGACAGGAAAUGGAAAAUUCAGAAAACUGUCUAUUUUCAGAAGAAAGCAAAGCAAAACGUUUGCCUUCCCUAAGCUGCAGUGGCCGUACUGAAAGCAUUCCAGCUGUCCUCACCUCCCUGCCUACUACUCUGGAGCCAUUGUGCUGGGGCCCCAGCGUGCUCCCCGCCACCCUGGCCUUCCCGGCCCAUGGCCCCCAGGCCCAUGAGCACAGCACGGUGCAGCACAGCCCCGCACGGCGUGGCCCCGUAGGGCCAGGGCCUGAUAUCGACAGGGCAGUGGUUGGCUGCUGGCACUGCACACGGGCUAACCUGGGAAACCGCUUGCUUUCUGCUGCUACCUUCCACACAAUGCUUUUGUUACUUUUCAGCCAUUUCUGGUGGUUUUGCCUCUGUUGCUUUCUGCUGGGUUUAUUGCUGAUGAAUAGCAUAAACCAAGGUUGAAACCUCUGAUCAAAAAGUCACAUACAGCUAAGUCACAUACGGCUGUGUGCAACGCCUAUGCUGUUAGCAGGCUUUGGCUAGCAGUGCCAAAGCAUGAAUUCUUACUCAGUUGAUUGUUAUCAAGCACUCCUAAGUCUCACUUGCUACAAACACUGUCCAAACAAAUAAACCUGUCUCAGAUUUUGUAUAUAUACUAUGUCUUCGUAUGUUUCAUGUGCUAAAGGAUGUGCCUUCACAUUAAAUCUCAUUUCAUUCUGUGUUAGGUUACUUUAAUUUGAGUUUGCUCCUUAUGCACUUCCAUUUUUGUAUCUUGCAUAAUGGUCUUAAUUUGUUUGCUCUUUAGGUCAUUAAAAUUACAGUGAAAAGUACUGAUCUACAGAGUUGAUUGAACUUGGAUUUGAUUUUUCUUUUUUAAUUGGGAUUGACUUUUUGACUUGAGGGACAUUUUUUGCUGAGAAAAAAAAAAAAAAAAAAAGAAACUUAUCUUCAGGGUUUGUCAUAAGGUACAUUUUAAAAUCAUGUUAACUACCCCAAACAUUCAACUGGCUUAUCUGAAGCAAGCCACUAAGAGGGUUUUUGGUCUUUCUGGAAAAGGAAAAUAAUUUUCCUAAACUAGAGCUACCGUAGAGGCCUGUUAAUCUUGUAAGGUUCUACCUUUGCUUUUAUACUGACAGCCAUCAUGACAGCCUGCUCUCAUCAUUGAGUUCAGUGGGAGCUUAUCCUUGCUCUUUUCAGGAGAAAAAGACCUUAAUAAAAUCUUCAGUCCCCCAGUUUGCACAUGUAUCUUGAUUCAUGCAAACACUCAACUGAAACCCAUGAAGUUGGAACUUAAAUAUUGAGCCCUCAACAUAUCUACAGAGAGUAUCAGAGACAGACUUGUGCUUUUCCAAAGGAGCCUAGGCUCUGUGGAGUCUAGGCUUACACACACCCCAGAACAUAUUGUAUUGUUUGUAGUAUGCGCUGGACACGCCGGAAACUCUACUUCAUUUGUCUGUAAGAUAUAGCUGCCUGGUGAAAA